CACCUUGUGCAGUAACAAUGGUUCUUCAAGAUGUGUCCCGCUUGCAUCCCUGUGCUGCUGCUCAGAGAACUUUGGUAGCAGUAUUCCUUCGGCCCGCACAUGUGCUGUCCGCCCCUUGUGUUCUGCCACAAGGCUAACCAGCGCUGCGCAGGCAAACCCCCUUAGUUUCUUCUCUACCACAGAGUCCUUGACAAGAACGCCGAAGCAGAGGGGAGGAGGGUGGGUCAUGGAGCACCCAUACAGACACAUAUCUUGAAGAAUCGUCGUUACUGCACAAGGUGAGUAACCUCCUCUACUUCAAGUAGUGUCCCUAUGGGUGCUCCACUGUAGUUGACUCCCGAGCAGUAUCCCUAAUGGGAGGCUGAGGCUUCGGAGUAGAGUCAGUUAUGGAUGACAAUACUGCGGAAUCGAAGAUAGUGUCGGAAGCAGUUCCCGGUAAUUGCAUAGUAUUCUGCGAAGAUAUGUGCAGAUGCCCAGGUUGCUGCUCUGCAGAUUUCAGAGAUAACUACAUUCUUGAGGAAGGUGACAGAAGAGGAAACUGACUUCAUGGAUCAUGCGCAUAUUCUGGAUGGAGAUCUUUUGAUAAUAGAGGGAACUGGAGAAAGGUGUAUACAAGGUCCUUGUCCCAUAAAAGGAGAGCAUCCCCUAAGGAGUGCUGUCCGAGGCCUGUUCUGGAGCAGUAGCAUGGACAUUUUUUGGUCAGGGAUUGGAGUGGUGACUCAGACCCCCCUGCCCUUGUGAACAGAAGAGAGGGCACUUCCUGUUCUCAAAGGUGGUGAAAAGAUGGAUUUCUGGCAGUCCCCAUUUCUGGAAUAUGCUUUGGAGAACCUGAGUGUCUAGCUCCCUUUCACAGACUGUGGAAGAAGUGUCUGCUGAGGGCAUCAGCUCUGGCGUUCUGGAUGCCUGAGAGGGACUUCUUUAUGUGCAAGGACACCAUCACCAGACUGUCCAAGGUGUCGCUGCUCGGAGAGUAUGUUGUUCUGAGCCAACCUGAAAGCAGUGAAGGUGUAGACUUGUGUGACUGGCCACAAAGGUGCAAGCUGCCAUACUGGAGAUAGUUGAAGACAGUUCCUUACUGUGGUCUGAGGGCUUCCCUGAAUUGUCCCUACCAGACCUGACAAGGUCACAAAUCUGUGCAAAGCUGUAGGUCCAACUCCUGGAACAGAGCAAGGCCUGUCUGGGUGGAAGAUAGCACUGCCUCGAAGGAGCAUUUCUUGAGUCAUCGAGGUACAGGAAGACCAGGAUUGCUUCCUGCUGAACGUGCGUAAAUGCCCAGGGAACGUAGGAUAGCCCCGGAGUCCUUCAACGUGUGAAGGGAAUUGUUCAAGGUCUCUGAGAAAAGCGUAUGACCAUCAAAGGGGAGGUCCUCUACUGCGUUCUGAACUUCUCUCGGAAACCCCCAAAGUUGGAACCAUGACGUCCUGUGUAUAACUACCACCAUGGAGAUGGAUCUGGUAGCAGGAUCCACAGCAUCUAGGGACACUUGGAGAGUUGUACUGGCGAAUAGCUGAUUCGCUGCGACUAUGGAAUUGAAUUGCUCCCUGCAGUCACACGGCAGCUGUUCAAUACAGGCCGUGGACUUGUUGUAAUUAGUAAAGUUGUAUUUGGCCAUGACCACCUGAUAGUUUGUGAUCUGGAACUGAAGGGUUGCAGAUGAGUAUAACUUUCGCCCAGAGAGAUCCAGUCACUUUUGGUCCUUGUCAUAGGGGGUAGAUCUUGAAAAGUGCUGCCUAUUGCUGCAUCCACCACUAAGGAGUUAGGUGGGGGACGGGAAAA